UGAGGAAUAUUGCUCAAUGGGCGCAAGCCUGAAGCAGCGACGCCGCGUGGGCGAUGAAGGUCUUCGGAUCGUAAAGCCCUUUUCACCGGGACGAGACAGGACGGUACCGGUGGAAUAAGUGUCGGCUAACUACGUGCCAGCAGCCGCGGUAAAACGUAGGACGCAAGCGUUAUCCGGAAUUACUGGGCGUAAAGCGCGUGUAGGCGGGUAUUUAAGUCACUGUUGAAAGCUCCUGGCUAAACUGGGAGAGGUGCGGUGAUACUGGAUACCUAGAGGGGGUCAGAGGGAUGCAGAAUUCCGGGUGUAGUGGUGAAAUGCGUAGAGAUCCGGAGGAAUACCAGAGGCGAAGGCGGCAUCCUGGGACUUACCUGACGCUGAGACGCGAAAGCAUGGGGAGCGA
rnacentral:rRNA from 1 species